CAGGGUUUCUGCAAGUGGAUUAAUCAGCCCUGUGUAUUCAUUCUACCACCAGAGCAACAAUUCAUUUUGAUUAUUAUGUUACGAAUACCAGCGACAUUCAAUAGACCUUGCAGAGAAAUGUAUAUGAGUUUGGGCAAAUAUCCACUGUAGCACACGAGACAGAUCAGAUAAUAAUAGCAGCUGCAGGUUCUGGAACAUCACAGAGUCCCUCCAUGAUACCCACUGAAUUGGAAUGUCAACCUGGUGAUGUAGUUCAUCCUUAUCACCUAAAAA
rnacentral:lncRNA from 1 species